UCGAUCCUACGGGGGGCAGCAGUGGGGAAUAUUGCACAAUGGGGGGAACCCUGAUGCAGCAAUGCCGCGUGAAGGAUGAAGGUUUUCGGAUUGUAAACUUCUUUUGUACGGGACGAAGAAAGUGACGGUACCGUAAGAAUAAGCCCCGGCUAACUACGUGCCAGCAGCCGCGGUAAUACGUAGGGGGCAAGCGUUAUCCGGAUUUACUGGGUGUAAAGGGGGCGCAGACGGCGAUGCAAGCCAGGAGUGAAAGCCCGGGGCCCAACCCCGGGACUGCUCUUGGAACUGCGUGGCUAGAGUGCAGG
rnacentral:rRNA from 1 species